UUGCACGCUGGCGGCAGGCCUAACCCAUGCAAGUCGCGCGGAUGAAGGGAGCUUGCUCCUGGAUUCAGCGGCGGACGGGUGAGUAAUGCCUAGGAAUCUGCCUGGUAGUGGGGGAUAACGUCCGGAAACGGGCGCUAAUACCGCAUACGUCCUGAGGGAGAAAGUGGGGGAUCUUCGGACCUCACGCUAUCAGAUGAGCCUAGGUCGGAUUAGCUAGUUGGUGGGGUAAAGGCCUACCAAGGCGACGAUCCGUAACUGGUCUGAGAGGAUGAUCAGUCACACUGGAACUGAGACACGGUCCAGACUCCUACGGGAGGCAGCAGUGGGGAAUAUUGGACAAUGGGCGAAAGCCUGAUCCAGCCAUGCCGCGUGUGUGAAGAAGGUCUUCGGAUUGUAAAGCACUUUAAGUUGGGGGGAAGGGCAGUAAGUUAAUACCUUGCUGUUUUGACGUUACCAACAGAAUAAGCACCGGCUAACUUCGUG
rnacentral:rRNA from 1 species